UGUCCUUCCAGAUGUGGACCACUUGACUCUAUUUUGCCGAUCUGUGCAACAGAUUUUCGUAAAAUCCUCUGUGUUCGCAUGAGAGAAUGUGAUGUGAAAAUAGCCAACUGCCGAUACACUGAAAGGCAACUUCCAACACUAGAGAGGGCCCCCCUUACUGAAUGUCAAAAUAUUCUUCUUAGUGGUGUUGGCUUGUGUCAUUCUGAAUUUAUACGUAAGUCCUAAAUGAAAAUGAGACAUUUUUAAUGUAUAAAGCGCAUAAAGUUGGCCAAAAAAUAUUUAAUAAAUCAAUUUCGGAACAAAUGAAAUCUUAAAAAAAAA
rnacentral:sRNA from 1 species